rnacentral:rRNA from 1 species
UACGGAGGAUGCAAGCGUUAUCCGGAAUGAUUGGGCGUAAAGCGUCCGCAGGUGGCUAUGUAAGUCUGCUGUUAAAGAGUGAGGCUCAACCUCAUAAGAGCAGUGGAAACUACAUGGCUAGAGUGCGUUCGGGGCAGAGGGAAUUCCUGGUGUAGCGGUGAAAUGCGUAGAUAUCAGGAGGAACACCCGUGGCGAAGGCGGCUCUCUGGGACGGUACUGACGCUGAGACGCGAAAGCGUGGGGAGCGAACAGG